UAUUAGUAGCUUGUUUGUGCAGCGGAUGACUCAUUUGUUAGGAACGUGUUUUGACGUCAGGUCGUAAACAAACAAGCGUAUAUAAAGACAACGACGUAAGCGAAUUUCACUUCGAGAAUCAUGGAAUACAUUCACAGUUCUCGGGGAAAUCGCAUCCACAGCCAUGAAUGAUGUUGCAUGAUGUUAUUCUUCAUAUCGCGAAAUUUCGGUAAACUUGUCAAAAACGUGAAAGAAUAUAAAACGAAACUAUACUUCACUAUCAAAGUUUCUGUCAUCAAAAUCGUCAAUGACUUCAAUCACAGAAACUUUGACCGUGU